CAUUAUGUCUACUACAAGAAGAACAACUCCUUGAUCUAUAUCUACUCCUUUUAGUUCCACUCUUAACUUUCUUCAGUUUUCUUGUGUCGUUGUCUCUUCUUUCAGACCUGCCCCUAUGGUUCUCAUAUUCACUCUCAUCACUACUACUACUUGAACUCCGACAAGUUGAACAACUCCAAGACCCACUGCUCCUAGAACUAUUACUUGCAUUUCUCCUAGAUUUCUUCUUUUUCUUGUUCCUAGUUUUUUUCUUCCUUGCCUUAGAAUCAUCAUUUCUCCUUGACCCUUUCUGCUUUCUCAAGCAACAAGACUCCUCACUGCCAGAAGAACAAGAGUAAGAGCGAGCCCUCCUUUUAGUCCCCUUCACAUCCUUGCGAGUGAAAGACCUAGAUUGAGACCUUCUACCUAGGUAAGUAUCCUCAGAACUGGAGGA
rnacentral:misc_RNA from 1 species